rfam:Schistosoma curassoni strain Dakar, Senegal genome assembly, scaffold: SCTD_contig0002745
AUCCAGCCGACGAGUCCCAAAUAGGACGAAACGCGUGUCCUGGAU